GGCGACAUAGCUCAGUUGGGAGAGCGCACGACUGAAGUUCAAAUAAAGAAUCAAAUCGUGCGGUCCCUGGUUCGAUCCCGGGUGGCGCCA
rfam:Cryptococcus neoformans var. neoformans JEC21 chromosome 5, complete sequence.